CAAUGACACAGAGUUGAGUGUUCCUCACAGAGCACAUGUGCAGAGAAAACUACUUAGGGGAAAAAUCAGGUCUUUGUGGGCUCACAGCAAAAUUCUGUGAUCAGUUUUUUUCUGCUUAGAUUACAGGGCUGUUUUGCUUAAAACAUUGAGAAGAAUAGGAAACUUCUCUGUCAUGUUUCUGAUAGUAAAUCAUCAUGUUAUUUCAGAAACUUCAUAGACAGAUAUUGCUAAUUAACUUUUCCAGAAUCCUCCUUCCCAGAGACCUUUGGCUUUCUAAGGGAGCAUCAGAUUUGUCAUCUUUGGUGAGAGUUCUGGAGAUUUAAUAGGUUAUGACCUUGCCAUUUGUCAAUUAUGGGAAUUUGUUAUGUUGUUUUAAUUAUGUAAACAGUAUUUUUAUAGGUAUUAAAUAUAUAUUUGCAGCAUUUUCUUAAACAUGGUUUCUUUCUUCUUUUCCCUCCCCUCCCCUCCACUCCCCUCCCCUCCGCUCCCCUUCCCUCUCCUCCCCUCCCCUUCCCUCCCCUUCCCUUCCCUCUUUUCUUUUCUUUUUCUCUUUUAAAGAGACAGAGCUCUGUUGUCCAGGCUGGAGUGCAGUGGCACAAUCAUAGCUCACUGCAACCUCCAACUCCUCAGCUCAGGCAAUCCGGUCAGCCUCCCAAGUAGCUGGGACUACAGGUAUGUGCCACCAUGCCUGGCUAAUUUUGAAAUUUUCAGUAGAGACAGGGUCUUGCUAUAUUGACCAGGCUGGUCUUGAAGCCCUGGGCUCAGGAGAUACUCCCGCCUUAGCCUCCCAAAGUGCUGGGAUUGUAAGCCUGAGCUACUAUACUCAGCAGAUCUCCACAUAUCUUUGGAUUUUUAUGUUGUGCUUACUUUACAAUCACUGAGUUCCGUGUUAUAAUGUCUCCAUUAUUUUGGUGGGCAUAUUAGAGCUGAUUGUUUCUCUCAGCAGCCUUCAACCGCCCCCUGUGAGACCUCCACAGCUUACCUUAUCAUAAUAUUGGAAAGCAAUUUCUCUUGACUGCUGUGAACCAACGCCGGAAAUUCAAAAUGCUGCUACAGUCAUUAAGUGAUUUCCAAUUAGUUAAUUGGUUUUACAGGCUGCUUCUUUCUAAACUGCACCUUAAAUGAAAAGCAGAACCAUCCAUUUUUGAAAGAGGAAAAAAUCCUGGGGCCUUUGGGUUUUAACAUCCUAAAAGCACAGCAUUCUUUGGAAGAAAAUUCAGUAAAAACACCAGCUCUGCAGAACAGAAAACUUUAUUAUUAUUACCACAGAAAAAGAAUGGAAUCACUCUUUUGGCUUUCCCAGAUUGUCCAGGGUUUAGUUUGCCCACUUUAACGUUAGAUCAAAGGAAGACAGGCAGAUUAUCACAGAACAGCACAGAACAUGGAGACUUUCCUGAUCAACACUAGUUCUUGUCUAGGGAAGCUUCCUGGGCCUCUGUGUUGAGUGCCCUAGGGCUGUAUACGCUUGGCUGCUCUGGGAUGCGAUAUUAAACCUCACUGAGCAGUAGGGGAGAAGUGCUUGAGAAUGGUAAGAAGCUGAUUUUUGGAAAGGAAAGGGGAUCUGAUUACGUCUAUGGGCUAGCAAAAGGAAUGGAUCGAAGGAAGCAUGAGAGGGUUGGUCUAGAAUAUUUCUUGUCAACACGUGUGUUGUUAAUGGUGGGCCAGAAACACAAAUUGUGAACAAUAUUUGAUUUACACAGUGGGGUAAAUAGGAUGAAUAUUCAAGAGGGUAAAUAGGAUAAUAACUGAUUUACCCAGUAGGGUAAAUCUUUUAUCUGUUUUCCCUGAUAGAGAAAAGUUGGCUUUAAUAGUAGAUAAGAGGCAUACAAAAGUAAAGCAAAAUUUUCUCUUUAUUAGACAAAGAUGCAACCCAUUAAAUCAGAAACUGCAUAGUGUAGUGGGGCUAGAAGCAUGGACUCUGGAGCUGGACUAUCUGGGUGGACAUCCUGACAGUCGCUUUCCAGUUGUGAGAUUUUGGGCAAGUUACUUGAGAGAGAGAGAGAGAGAGAGAGAGAGAGAGCGAGGAGAGAGAGAGAGAGAGAGAGAGAGAGAGAGAGAGAGAGGAGAGAGAGAGAGAGAGACUCCCACACAGUCAUGGGAGAGGAUCCCAGAGAGAAAAUCUGUGUAGGUAAGGGAAUAGGGGAAAUUUAACAGCGGAGUUACUCCCGCCCCAUUCAAGUUUUUGUCCAGUUAGAGGAGCUUUUCCAAACUUCUUCUGGAGUGGUUGAUCUUUGACUCUGAUGCUGGAUUGGCUGUCUGGCUCCCAAUAGAGCCCCUCCUUCCAAGGCUUUUGGGUUUGUUUUUUUUUUUUAAACAAAGGAAGCUCACCUGGGCUGUUUACGUUCCGGCACCUGGGAAAGUUAGACAGAGAACUCUAGGCUCCCGGAGCAGGGGUGGAUAGAAGUAUGGCCUGGAAGUUCUUGCCUUUGAAACCACACCCCUUGUGGACCUGGGAAGAGAAGUUAACAUAGUACCUCAAUACCAUCCUCACAGGGUUGUUAUGAGGAGUAAACUUCUGGUUACGGAGCUGGAGGCCAUCAUCCUAAGCAAAUUAAAGCAGGAACAGAAAACCAAAUACUGCAUGUUCCCAAAGAUAAGUGGGAACUAAACAUGGAGACACAUGUACAUAAACAUGGGAGCAACGAGCACUGCGGGCUAGUAGAGGGGAAGGAGGAAUGGAAGGGGAUGUGGGUUGAAAAACCACCUAGUGGGUACUAUGCUCCCUACCCGGGUGCAAUAUAUCCAGGUAACAAACCCAUACAUGUACCCCCGUAUCUAAAAUAAAAGCUGAAAUGAAACAAAUCCCUUAGAACCAGAGCUUAUACAUUUUUCAAUAAACCAAAUUUUAUAAUAUGCCAUGUUUUGAAAGAUUCACCUUUUGAUCUCUCCUUUGAAGAAAAUCUCUCAUUUUAUGGUUUAUUAUCCAUGAGAACUGAUACUCCAAGGAGGCCAAUAGAUAAGGGCCUCUCUGGAAGGAAAAAUUCACCUGUUAAGUGUGUGGGGUUUAAUGCAUCUCCAGUCCCCCAAGACUGUUCCUGUCAUAGCAUAAAUAAUAUCCAGCCCAGUCAGUUGGUCAGUCCAUCUGUCAGUCAGCUGUACUCCCUGCCAUCAGCUCUUUAAGACAAUUUCAUUCCUCCAAACUCACCCAGUGCCUGCUCUUUUUGUUAAAGAGCAAUGUUUAUAUAUAGAAGUAGAUGUAGGUUAAAUCGGAAAGGUAGAGGAGGCAAUGAUUGGAAUAUUGGGUCAGAAAAAGUGAACUUCCUUGUGUGUGCUUGUGUGCGUGUGUGUGUGUGUGAGAGAGAGUGAGAGGAAACAGACACGUACACACAGACACAACACAGGGACACAUAUAUGCACACACAGCCCGGUAGGAACAGAAAAUCUUCCAUGUGAGCAGGGACAAUGCAUUAGAGAGUCAGUUCACUGGUGAGAAGGAGAUCAGGGAUGCGAGAGGGGUAAGGGAAGCAAGGAAGGGAGCUGAGGAUGGAAAACCCUGUUCCUGGCUCUGGUGUCUUUGUGUCAGCUUUAGAAGCAGUUGGUUCAUCAUUUCAGCAGCCUGGAGUCCUUUAGUAAUGACUUCAUGGACUAAAAUUUAAAACCAAAUUAAAUGUGUUUACAAAACAGCACCCACACUGAAUUGAUAACGAGCUGCCAAAGUUGGGCUUGUAAUGAUCUGGGUCCCGAUCUCUGACAGGCUGCAUGCGCUGCCGGGGGUCCUGGUGCUGUUCUUGGGGGUAAAACUGCAGCCAUCCUUUCUCCUGUGUCAUUCUCCCCCUGCCUAAGUGCAGCACUUUUAGGUGAUACGCUGCUGGGCACGAGUCAUGCAUUUAUUUAUAGAUACAUAUUUGCUGGUUUUGAGAGUAGUAACUCUGUUAGAAAUUUGUUAGCUUUUUUUGGUUUGUUUUAAGAUUUUUCUUUUUAGGUUUCCUUAUGCAGUACAUCCAUUCUGGAUGAAACCAUGUUUUGAGAAUACUAAGUAUGAAAUCUUGUAAUUACUUAUGAUUUUUGAUGGUGUGUACUUUGAGAGUGAAACGUUUUCAGGGAUGAUUGGUCCCCCUGCCUCCUUCCCUUGCAGCUCCUUCGUUUCUAAACACCUUGUUAUUUCAGAGAGGGGGAAUCUUUCAUUCCGAUUUUAUGGAACAGAAUGAAGUAUUUUUCUAGUCAUAUUUUGUUUUUAGAACAAGAACUGCUCUUUCAAGUUGUUAAUCAGUGUAAAGGAAAGGAGGCAUCAAAGGGAAUGCUGCUGUGUCCUUUCUAAAGGGAGCAAAAUGUUCUUCUUGUAAUGAAGUAUAUUGAUAGAUUUAUUUCUAUCGUCCAUGAAGAUAAUUAGGACUCAAUAAAUAUGAAAUCAAUCAGCAAAUAACCUCUUCCUACCCUUGAGGAACUUAGGAUCUACUGAAACAAGAUGAAUGGCAUGCAUCUUUAUCUUUUUAACAACCCUUUGCCUUCCAUUUAUGGGAAACAGACUCUUAAGAAUUCCCAUCCAGGGAUCCUGAAGAGGUUUGGCCUGUUAUCUACUUAAAAUCAUGUAUAAGCCAAUGAGAAGAUGCUUUAGAGUUACUACCUGAGCAGCAAUAUUGCAUGUGAAACCGCUCCCUUAAAAAAGAGUUAAUUUCUAAAAAUAGCACCAGAACUGAAGAGUGCAUGGCUGGUGGUGAUGGCUGAGUGGUCGGCAGUGUGUCUGCAGGGUAAGGAGAGGGGAGGGAGUACCCUGGGAUAAGACUGUGUCUCCUGUUAAUCACAAGACGUAAAACCACAAUUCAAUUACAUGGGAUUCCAUGCUAAUAUUCCUCUUGUCAAUGGCUUUUCUGUUUCAGAAGGCAGCAGAAUCCCACUGUAGAGUCAAUGUGUGCCUAAAGCCUGAUUAACUGUAUUGUGGUGCUCAUGGAAUAUUUAGUCUCUGGAUAUUAUUUAUGUUGACUCAGGAGCAGUCUUGGGGGAAUGGAGAUGCAUUAAACCCCACACACUUGACAGAUGAUCUUUUCCUUCCAGAGAGGCCCUGUGUUGCUGUCUGGGCUCUGGUGGCCCCGGGGAAGCUCCUGGCUUCUUCCUGACCUCCAGUAAACCUGUUCUUCCUGCUUACCAUGCAUUAGAAACAAAAUGUACUUGUUUGAAUCGAUAUUGGGCAUUAAGCAGCUUCUGGGCUUCAUGUCAGGGUCUCUGGUAGAAGAGGUUAUCCUCUGUUUGCACUGGGGUUUGGGUAGCAGGAAAUUUAAGAUGAAAUAGGCUAGAAGUUUAAUCCUUGGAUGCAUUUAAUCUUGUGACUGUUAGUUGGCUCUCAAGUUUUCACAAAGUGCCUU
ensembl:lncRNA